GAGGCUUGUUGAGGCUACAGGGGAGUGGAGCUUGCUUUCCUAGCUUCAGCUCCUGUACUCAGCAAGCUGUAAAGCAGUGGCUUACGGAACAGCUGGGACUGCAGGUUCAGUCCUCACCCUUAUCCUGCCUCCAAGUGACUGACACAACCAUUGUUUAUUGGGUCACAUACCAGGGGCUGGGCUGGACCUGGUUCUUAGUGCUGCCAAUCACUACUUCUCACUCCAUAUGUGUAUCCAGCCACAUGGCCCAAGGACAACAUCAUCCGACAAACUAUUAAUCUCCUGAUUGUCACAAACCUGGGUGGUUACAUUCUCUACUUCUGUGCAACCCUCAACUGUUAUUUUGUCUAUGAUCAUUCUGUGAUGAAACACCCACAGUUUUUAAAGGCUGGAUUCAUCUCAUCUUUAGCGUGAUAUCCUUCCUCUUUUUUACAGACAUGUUGAUCUACUGGAUUCAUAGGGGCCUGCACCACAGACUGGUCUACAAGCACAUACAUAAACCUCAUCAUAUUUAGAAGAUAUCCACGCCGUUUGCAAGUCAUACUUUUUACUCUGUGGACUGAAUCCUUUAGAGUCUGCCUUACCAUAUAUACCCCUUUGUCUUUCCACUGCACAAAGUAGUCUACUUAGGUUUAAAUGCCUUUGUUAAUGUCUGGACAAUUUCUAUUCAUGAUGAUGAUUUUUGGGUUUCCCCAAUCUUAAGGCUAUUUAUUAAUGGGUCAGCUCAUCACACAAACCACCACAUGUUCUUUGACUAUAAAUAUGGACAAUAUUUCACAUUGUGGGAUAAAACUGAAGGCUCUUUUGAAGGGAAAGGACCACAUAGUUAUGUGAAGAACAUGACAGAAAAAGAAUGUAACAACCUUGCAGAAAAUGACUGUAAAAGCAAAAAGGUAUGCAAUGGAGAGUUUACAAAGAAUAUUUCCCAAUUAUUAACUAUUUUAAAUAAGAAAAUAAUCUACACAGUCAAGAUACAUAGCAAAUAAGUGGUGUCAUUUGAAUGUCAGCAUUGCUUGAGUAUCAUGCUGAGGAAUGGUCCUUACAGUAAACAGUGGGAAGUUACUGGGAGCAUUGUAAUCUCUUGGUUAAUUGUCCGACAUUGGUCCAGAGACAACUUGUGUCUUUUCAUCGACUGACCUAGAGCCUGUACAGCUCUGACAGCAUCUUUAAAUACUAUAGAAAAUAAGCUACUGACGAAGCUGGUCUGUGUCCUUUUGCCUUGAUCCAUGCAUACUCAAUAAGGAAAAAAAGUACCAUUGUGCUUAACGCUACUGAGACUAACCAGGAAACCCUAAAGAUGAAGAUGUUCCUGUUCCGGGAGCGGCCGGCUCCACAGCAGUGCUGGGGAGUUGCAGGACUUCAUUCAAACAGGACUAUCAGUCCAAGCAGGCUGAUACAUGAGUGGCAGUGGAUAUGAUUUGCUUAAUGGCUGAUGUAAUAAGAUUGUAUUUUCUUCCUAUAUUAUGCUCUGGCACCUUACUCUUAGAGCCAUUAUCAGGUUUUAAUAAAUGAGUAAAUAACUGG